ACGGCUCAGUAACACGUGGAUAACCUGCCCUUGGGUCCGGCAUAACCCCGGGAAACUGGGGAUAAUUCCGGAUAACGCACAUAUGCUGGAAUGCUUUAUGCGUAAAAUGGAUUCGUCUGCCCAAGGAUGGGUCUGCGGCCUAUCAGGUAGUAGUGGGUGUAAUGUACCUACUAGCCGACGACGGGUACGGGUUGUGAGAGCAAGAGCCCGGAGAUGGAUUCUGAGACAUGAAUCCAGGCCCUACGGGGCGCAGCAGGCGCGAAAACUUUACAAUGCGGGAAACCGUGAUAAGGGGACACCGAGUGCCAGCAUCAUAUGCUGGCUGUCCAGGUGUGUAAAAUACACCUGUUAGCAAGGGCCGGGCAAGACCGGUGCCAGCCGCCGCGGUAACACCGGCGGCCCGAGUGGUGAUCGUGAUUAUUGGGUCUAAAGGGUCCGUAGCCGGUUUGGUCAGUCCUCCGGGAAAUCUGAUAGCUCAACUAUUAGGCUUUCGGGGGAUACUGCCAGACUUGGAACCGGGAGAGGUAAGAGGUACUACAGGGGUAGGAGUGAAAUCUUGUAAUCCCUGUGGGACCACCUGUGGCGAAGGCGUCUUACCAGAACGGGUUCGACGGUGAGGGACGAAAGCUGGGGGCACGAACCGGAUUAGAUACCCGGGUAGUCCCAGCCGUAAACGAUGCUCGCUAGGUGUCAGACAUGGCGCGACCGUGUCUGGUGCCGCAGGGAAGCCGUGAAGCGAGCCACCUGGGAAGUACGGCCGCAAGGCUGAAACUUAAAGGAAUUGGCGGGGGAGCAC
rnacentral:rRNA from 1 species